ACCAAAUUCCACCCCCACCCCUCACAUAUACAGAGAUCCGAGCGGCUGUGGUGUGAGUGCACGUGUGUGUUUGUGUGUGUGUGUGUGUGUGUGUGUGUGUGUUAUGCAAAAGGGUCUCUCUGCUGCUUUCUCUUUUGUCACUGAGUCUCCAAAUUGUGUAACUGAAACUGCAAGGAAGACCGUUUUCCUGAAGAUGCUGAGAGCUCUGUUUUGAAGACACACACAUAUCCGAACAAUUAGAGACUGAAGAGUGAGGACGCCUGUUUGGGGACCGGUUUGGUAUUGUACCCAGACCACACAUUCCGGCUGGGA
rnacentral:lncRNA from 10 species